rnacentral:rRNA from 1 species
AGAGUUCGAUUCUGGCUCAGAUUGAACGCUGGCGGGAUGCUUUACACAUGCAAGUCGAACGGCAGCACGGACUUCGGUCUGGUGGCGAGUGGCGAACGGGUGAGUAAUGUAUCGGAACGUGCCUAGUAGCGGGGGAUAACUACGCGAAAGCGUAGCUAAUACCGCAUACCGCCCUUCGGGGGAAAGCGGGGACCUUUCGGGCCUCGCACUAUUAGAGCGCCGAUAUCGGAUUAGCUAGUUGCGGGGUAACGGCUCACCAAGGCGACGAUCCGCAGCUGGUUUGAGAGGACGACCAGCCACACUGGGACUGAGACACGGCCCAGACUCCUACGGGAGGCAGCAGUGGGGAAUUUUGGACAAUGGGGGAAACCCUGAUCCAGCCAUCCACAGCGUGUGCGAUGAAGGCCUUCGGGUUGUAAAGCACUCUUCGCAGGUAAGAAACGGUACGGGAUAAUACCCGUGCAACUGACGGUACCUGCAGAAUAAGCACCGGCUAACUACGUGCCAGCAGCCGCGGUAAUACGUAGGGUGCAAGCGUUAAUCGGAAUUACUGGGUGUCAUGGGCAGCAGGUGCUCCGAAAGAAAGAUGCGGAAAUCCCAGAGCUUAACUUUGGAACUGCAUUUUUAACUACCGAGCUAGAGUGUGUCAGAGGGAGGUGGAAUUCCGCGUGUAGCAGGAAAUGCGUAGAUAUGCGGAGGAACACCGGAUGGCGAAGGCAGCCUCCUGGGAUACCGACGCUCAUACUGAAGUUGUGGGGGAGCAAACAGGAUUAGAUACCCUGUAGCCACGCCCUAAACGAUGUCAACUAGCUGUUGGGGCCUUCGGGCCUUGUAGCGCAGCUAACGCGUGAAGUUGACCGCCUGGGGCGUACGGUCGCAAGAUUAAAACUCAAAGGAAUCGAUAGGACCCGCGCCAAAGCGGUGGAUUACGGACACCCGAUGCAACGAAAACCUUACCUACCCUUGACAUGUUCCUGAAUCCCGAAGAGAUUUGGGAGUGCCUGCAAGAGAACCGGAACACAGGUGCUGCAUGGCUGUCGUCAUUUCGUAGUUAGAGAUGUUGGGUUGUUCUGGCAACGAGCGCAACCCUUGUCAUUAGUUUGCUACGAAAGGGCAUCGGCACGAGACUGCUGGGCAUAACCGAGGAAGGUGGGAUGACGUCAAGUCCUCAUGGCCUUGCGGUAAAGGCCACACGCCGCGCAAUGAACGGGACAGAGGGUCGCCAACCCCGGGCGAGGGGGAGCCAAUCCCAGAAACCUGAUCGAACCGAUCAGUUCGGGCAAAACUCUGACUGCGUGAAGUCGGAAUCGCUAGUAAUCGCGGAUCAGCAUGUCGCGGUGAAUACGUUCCCGGGUCUUGUACACACCGCCCGUCACACCAUGGGAGUGGGUUUUACCAGAAGUAGUUAGCCUAACCGUAAGGAGGUUAGAUUACCACGGAUUCAUGACUGGGUGAAGUCGUACUGCUGCAG